AAAAUGAAGGUUAAGUGGAUCUUUUAUAAAAAAUAAUUAUGAAUUAUACAAAAUAGAAAAAACUCAGUAAAAAUAAAAUUAAAUUAAAAGGGAUAAUUAAUAAAUUAAACCAUUGAAAUCGUAAAAGACUAAAGCGCGAUGCGCUUGGAUGUGCAGGGAUUAGAACUGAAAAUAUUCCAGAUCUCAUAGCACAGCAUUUAGGUGCGGGCCAAAUUGAAGUGUCACGCAUAUUCUAGGACAAAUUUAAAACAAGUAAAAUGCAAAUAAGGAUUAAUUAAAAAGAAUGCGCAAACGAGGAGGACUAUACGCGCAAAUCUCCCAUUUGAUGCACAAAAACGCAGAUUCGGGUUGGGGAGCUGGUUGAUGCGCGGAUCCCCUUCCCUAAACGGCAUCGUUUCGUUUUGUUGUCAAAAUCAAAGAAAAAAUGAACGUUAGUCUGCCAUUUUUGCUGAAAUCAAUCCCUAACCCCUUUUAUUUCUCUCCUAAUUUCCCUCUCGGCCGACCAAUGCUGCGCCACCAUAACAGUGACCCACAUGCCCGCAAUUCGACUGCUUUCCAGCCUUAGAUUCCCUCUAAGCUUUGAUUUCGACAAAGCAAAAGGAAUCCACGGCAUUUUGUAAGGUCUUUCUUUUAUUUCCAAAUGCUUUAAAAUUAUAAUGAAAAAGAAUAAAGGGAAAUAGAAUCGAAAGAAAAGCAUAGAACCCAGAAAAGAUGAAUCUAAAAUCACCUUUUAAGAACUGACUUUGGAUUGCUCUGUAUUUUUUACAAUAUGCGUGUAUUCCCCCUUUACACUAAUUUUUCUCGGCUUUUUAUAACUGAUUUACAAAAUAAAUAAAAAAUUUUGUAAAAAAACUCUAAUUUUCGCUGUCAUUUGCUGGCUUAUUUCUGUCUAUUGCUGCACUGUUAUGGUUGUUAUUUUGUUAUUUUGUUGCAGGUAGGCAUGGCAUGGCGAAGCCGCUCGUGAGCUUGUCGACGUGGGGCGUGAAGCGUUAGGGCUGCUGAUGGGGUUUGCGGCGCUGGCUGUUGGCUAGGGUUGGCCAAAAGUUUGGUUGGUGUUUUGGGCCUGAAGUCUUUUGGGUUUAGGUUUAUUAGGUUGGGUUUAUUGUUGGGUUAAUAAAUGUAAAUGGACUGGACUUUUAAAUUAUUUUGGUUAUAUUAUUUUUUUAGUUUUUUUUUUUAUUUUUUGGUUUUGGUUUUGGUGUAAGCCCGGGCAAAUUUGGGCCUAUACAUCUAUAUAUUACAAAUGUUGAAUGUGGAUAGAAAUAUGUUUUGGAAAGACUACUUGCUUUUUCAUCAGGUUUAUAUUAUACACAUACUUUUACUAUUUGACAUGACCAAUUAGGCCAUCCCGGAUCUAUUAUGAUACGAAGAAUAAUCGAAAAUUCAAUUGGACACCCAUUAAAGAACCAAA
rnacentral:lncRNA from 1 species